AGGCUGGAGUACAGUGGCACAACCUCUGCUCACUGCAGCCUCCACCUGCCAGGCUCAAGCAAUUCUCCUGCCUCAGCCUCCCGAGUAGCUGGGAUUACAGCUGGAUCUACCAUGAAAGACUUGUGAAUCCAGGAAGAGAGACUGACUGGGCAACAUGUUAUUCAGGUGGGAACAUCCAGUUGCAGGAAAACAAGCUUAACACGCCCACUGAUUCUACAUUAUGGCUGAAGCGAUCCUCCCACCUCAACCUCCCACGUGGCUGAGACUACAGGUGCUUGCCACUAUGCCCAACUAACAUUUGGAAUUUUCGUAUACGUGGAUUCUAGAGGGGUGACAGCGAAACGUGAGUGGGACCAUCCAGUUGCAGGAAAACAAGCUUGACACGCCCACUAAUUCUACAUUAUGG
rnacentral:lncRNA from 1 species